UCUGAGAUCAAAUCUAUCCGUCGAAUAGGAGCCGCGGGAGAACAAGAACCCUUCAUUUGAGCACGGCUCGCCUCUUCGAUCCUAUAAAUACGUUAUAUCUCGUCCCUCUUCCAUCGCAAAGGCGCCGAUUUGGGCGAUGUCCGUCGCCCUUUCCGUUUCUUCUUCCCCAUCGAUCCAUCGUUCGCUAUGUCGUUUUGAUUUCUCAUUCAGUUGCCAUACCGGGAGGCGGGAGCUGUGGCUUCUCUUUGAAGCUGCCGUAGCCCUAAUGUAAAGCCGGCCGACGUUGCCAGUACUUUGGAUCGCACGCGACUUUGAGACCUAGUUCGUCGACGACGAUGAUGAGUCUACAGACCUGUAAUGAUUUUUGCGGAUAUGAUCGCACUAUCAAAGAACAUCUAAGGGACUGAGUCGUCGUCACCAAAUUCGUUCUACACGAAUCUAUACUUGUUGAAUUUACUGUCUAAUGUCAUUUGCUUCACUAUCUGGUCAUUGAGGAUCAUUUCCAUUCCCAAUGUACUCGUUCCCUUGAAGCUAGAUUUUGCGUUGUCAUGAUCAUCAUUUUACUCGCCGACCCAAUAAACUUCUUGGCGAGUUAAUGAUCAUCACAUAAAUUUUAACAAGUAUUUCGUGCGCAACUGUUUUCAUGGCAGAUGAGGAUUUGUUGAUUUUAAUGGGUAAUUUGCAUCUGAAACUUGUGAUGUUACCUAUCAUAUCACCUUGGAGAUCUGAUGCCUAAAGUU